UUCUUUCACAACGUAUCUUCCACAUUCGGUACAUAUCUUCAUUUCUGUUAGAUCAAACAAUAAAAAAUAUCGAAUAGUUUUGCCAGCUGUUAUUACCAUGGAAACAUAAGAAUUCCUUAUUUCUUCUAGAAAGGAGUUGUUGGAGAAAAUGAAGGGAUUAUGGGAGCAAUUAGGAAAAUGUUCAUAGAAGAUCAGGAAAUGUCUUUCAAGUUCCACCCUUGGCAAAUGACGUCAUUAUUAUCAAAAAUUCGAGAAUAUUCUUUCGGCUUAUAGAAUAUUCACAAUGAACUUCCUGAAAGAGCAAUCCAUCACUUAUGGGAUACUGGCGUUGCAAACGAAAUUCUGAAUGUUUCGAAUCAGAAUACUGAAUCAGAUAAAGUGCAAAAAGUAAAACAUUACCUGUGCAGUUACCUGGACAUACAUAUUUAUCAGGUAAGUUACCCUGAAUGUAUAUUUGCCAAUAACUCAUAUGCAGUAGAAUCUCUUUUAACUGGCAGUAAGAGGAACUGGUAGAUUCCGAGCAACCGAUUUUUUUUCCAGCAUAGUUGAAUAUAUAUUUCUAGAACUUACUUGUUCAUGUUUUGCAAUCCCAUCUGUAGAAAUUGCAACAUGCGAAAUGCUGUUCAUAUUUUUUCAUCUGUUAGCUACAAUUAAAUAAAUAAUUUCAAAAAUA